rnacentral:tRNA from 2 species
CGGUAGCUCAGUUGGAUAGAGUGUUUGGCUACGAACCAAAAGGUCGGGGGUUCGAAUCCCUUCCG